rnacentral:rRNA from 1 species
CGAUAUCAAGUUGGAGGAAGGUGGGGAUGACGUCAAGUCAGCAUGGCCUUUAUAUCUGGGGCGACACACACGCUACAAUGGGCGGUACAAUGGGAAGCGAAGGGGCGACCUGGAGCGAAUCCUAUCAAAGCCGUUCGUAGUUCGGAUUGUAGGCUGCAACUCGCCUGCAUGAAGCCGGAGUUGCUAGUAACCGCAGGUCAGCCAUACUGCGGUGAAUACGUUCCCGGGCCUU